UCUUUUGUUUCAUGCAGCCGGUAAUGGAAUCAUGGCCCAAGUUAUUGAAACAGAGUGACAUGUUCGCACACUUGCCUGCAAAGUUACUCAAUGAACCGUGGGAAUUCAAUAGGCUAAAGAAUUUCCCCCACAAUGUCACUAGUAGGGCAUGUGGUUCGUGGUCAAUUGCUUUUAUGGAGGCUUUGCUUACCGGCACAACUGUGACAAAAUCUGAAAGUCUAAUCAGCGACAACUCUGUGGGAAGGAUGUAAUGGAGAUGGGCAUUAGGUGUCAUUGAAAAGGUGUUGGAGCCCUAAGAUGGGCUGAUAAACAAUUUAUUAAUUUUAUAUUUUUUGGAGCCCAAAUGUGGCCUGUUGAACAAUUUAAGUAUAUAUUAGGUGUUUUUUGAUGACAUUAUGUAAUUUAAGUAUAUAUUAGGUGUUCAGUACCUUUCUAAGACAUUUUGUUAAGUAUAUAUUAGAUGUUCAGUA